rnacentral:rRNA from 1 species
UAAAUUGAGAGUUUGAUCCUGGCUCAGGAUGAACGCUGGCGGCGUGCCUAAUACAUGCAAGUCGAACGAAACUUCUUUAUCACCGAGUGCUUGCACUCACCGAUAAAGAGUUGAGUGGCGAACGGGUGAGUAACACGUGGGCAACCUGCCCAAAAGAGGGGGAUAACACUUGGAAACAGGUGCUAAUACCGCAUAACCAUAGUUACCGCAUGGUAACUAUGUAAAAGGUGGCUAUGCUACCGCUUUUGGAUGGGCCCGCGGCGCAUUAGCUAGUUGGUGAGGUAAAGGCUUACCAAGGCAAUGAUGCGUAGCCGAACUGAGAGGUUGAUCGGCCACAUUGGGACUGAGACACGGCCCAAACUCCUACGGGAGGCAGCAGUAGGGAAUCUUCCACAAUGGGCGAAAGCCUGAUGGAGCAACGCCGCGUGGGUGAAGAAGGUCUUCGGAUCGUAAAACCCUGUUGUUAGAGAAGAAAGUGCGUGAGAGUAACUGUUCACGUUUCGACGGUAUCUAACCAGAAAGCCACGGCUAACUACGUGCCAGCAGCCGCGGUAAUACGUAGGUGGCAAGCGUUAUCCGGAUUUAUUGGGCGUAAAGGGAACGCAGGCGGUCUUUUAAGUCUGAUGUGAAAGCCUUCGGCUUAACCGGAGUAGUGCAUUGGAAACUGGGAGACUUGAGUGCAGAAGAGGAGAGUGGAACUCCAUGUGUAGCGGUGAAAUGCGUAGAUAUAUGGAAGAACACCAGUGGCGAAAGCGGCUCUCUGGUCUGUAACUGACGCUGAGGUUCGAAAGCGUGGGUAGCAAACAGGAUUAGAUACCCUGGUAGUCCACGCCGUAAACGAUGAAUGCUAAGUGUUGGAGGGUUUCCGCCCUUCAGUGCUGCAGCUAACGCAAUAAGCAUUCCGCCUGGGGAGUACGACCGCAAGGUUGAAACUCAAAGGAAUUGACGGGGGCCCGCACAAGCGGUGGAGCAUGUGGUUUAAUUCGAAGCAACGCGAAG